UAACUUUCCUCAUCUGUAAAGUGAGGGUCAGUGAUACUAUUUAUCUUUCCAUUUAGAAUGGUGAUUGAAGUAAGGUUUGGAAUCCCCUUGGAACAGAGCUUGGGAUCUUAGAAAGAUGGUAGAGUAAAGGCCAGCAGCAAAUCAGAGUCUCUCUAGGACCUGGAAUUGAGACACUUGGAUAAUAACAACUUAUCAGAGAGAAAAGAAAGAAGAGUUCUGGGAAUUAAGAAAGACCCAAUAGGAAGACUAGAAAUCACAGAGAAACUGGAAAAACUCAAGACAAUACACAAAGAACAAAGCAGUCUGGAACACUUACCUUGGCUCCUGGUGGAGGGGACCUGGCUCUGCAAACAUAAAAUGAUGUGGUUACAUUGAUGCCUUGUAAAGCAGCACUACAGAAGAAAUAGCCUGUGGAAGCAAUGCCAGCCACAUAGGCAACUGACACCAGCAAACUUAAGCAUUUCCAGUAAUUGAGCACCACCUUGUGGUCCAGAAGAAAAUCCAGGAAUGCACCGCAUCCAUCUUUGGAUCAUUGAGCAUAAUGAGCAGCCUUAAUGGCCAUCUGGCUUUUGUUGUCUCCUUUAGUCUGAGAGGAAAUGAGAUUUAUUACUGAAUAUGAACUGUCUCCUACCGUCUAAACUGCCUGGUGAGAAAUCAGUGGGUCUAAUUUGAACUAAGCAGAAAUCAUGCAGAAACAUAAAUCCAGGCUGCCACUGUUCUAUUAUUUAACUGAAUUGUGUCCACAUUUCACAGACGACUCGGCUUAGCCAGGGAACUUGGCAUCUCUAUGUGCUGUUACUGUAAAAUGUUGAGUUUAAUGUGUCAGUUGCUCCGAGUUAGGGUUUAGCUCCUGGCAUUUUCUCAGGUGGUUCAAUUAAAAACGAAAAAAAGCACAUUUAGAAAGGAACUAGUAAGGCUCAUCAUAGCCUAGCUGGCCCUUCCUUGCCUGACAAGUGAACUGGAGUUCUUCCAGUCUCCAGUGGAGGUCCCAGAUGUCAAGAAAUGCACACGUGCUAGUAGGAUUUAAACUAGACAUUCCAAAAAGGGCAAAGAACAUAAUCAUAAUUAACAGACUAAGCAAAUUAUACCCU
rnacentral:lncRNA from 1 species